rnacentral:rRNA from 1 species
GCCUUGCCUCACUACGGCGAGUGAGCGGCAAAGCUCAAUUUGAAACCCUCGGGAUUGUGAUUUGAAGAUUUGGCUUUGGAAAAGGCUCACCCGGUUGCUUGGAAUACUACGUUCCAUGGGGUGACAACCCCAUCUGGCUAACCAUCUCUCCAUGAAUAGCCUUAUCAUACAGUCUAGUUGUUUGGGAAUGAAUCUAGUAGUGGGUGGUAAACUCCCUCUGUGGCUGAAUACUGCUGACAGACCGAUAGCGAACAAGUACUGUGAAGGAAAGGUGAAUACAACUUUGAAAAGAUAAUGAAAUAUUAGGUGAAAUUGUUGAUAGGGAAGGAAAUUUGGUGGAGAGGGAAGGGCAUUAGAUCAGACUUGGUGUUUGACGAUUAUCUUCUCUUCUUGACUUGUGCACUCGUAUUUCACUGGGCCAUCAUCAAUGCGGAUGGCGAGAUAAUGACAGUUGAAUGUGGCUUCACUUCGGUGGAGUGUUAUAGCUUCUGCUGAUAUUGCCUGACGGGCAUCGAAGGCUGCGUCUUUUGACUACGAUGCUGGCGUAAUGAUCUAAUGCCGCCCGUCUUGACCAAGGGAACAAA